rnacentral:lncRNA from 1 species
UAACACAAAUAGGGCUAAAACACACUCCCCCACACUUGCCAUGCUGUGGGAGACAAGAAAGAGAGAAAGCUGCGGCCCUUUGGGGAGCCCAGACCUAGACACUCCCUGAGCCAGGACUGUGACCAUGCUUUUUGGGGCUCUGCAGUUUGUGGCAUCUCCAAGCUUCUGGGCACCACUGCAUUCCCCUCAUCCAGACACAGCUGCCCACAGUGGAAGCCACUUGCGGUGCAGCUGAUCCAGUCACAGGCUUGCAUGGAGCUGGUGCCUGGAGCUGCCUGCUCUGCCACAGCAGCCGGCAUGCUUUGUUGUGCGCAGUGGCCAGACCCCUGUGCUCACUUGCCCACACACCCCUCGCCGCUUCAUGCCUGGCACACAUGCAGGUGUGGGAUCCAGGCUGGUAGUGCAAGUUGAGUGUAGCCUGCCAAGCUAAGAGGGCAGAAUGAGCCCAGUGGGCCCAAGCAAGGCUUGGGCAAAGGCGCCAGAAAAGAUAUCUCACAUUCAUUUAUCUCAGGUUUCAAAGUGUCUUCAAUGCUAAAGUAAAUGUAUUAACAUUUGGAAAAUACAAGACAAUUUUUUUGUUUGUU